rnacentral:rRNA from 1 species
AACGAACGCUGGCGGCACGCCUAACACAUGCAAGUCGAACGAAGUAGCAAUACUUAGUGGCAGACGGGUGAGUAACAUGUGGGUAUCUACCCUUUGGCCUGGAAUAACACGAGGAAACUUGUGCUAAUACCGGAUAAGUCUUUACGGAGAAAGCUUUAUGCACCAUUGGAUGAGCCCGCACUUGAUUAGUUUGUUGGUAGGGUAAUGGCCUACCAAGACUAUGAUCAAUAGCUGAUUUGAGAGGAUGAUCAGCCACAUUGGGACUGAGACACGGCCCAAACUCCUACGGGAGGCAGCAGUGGGGAAUCUUGCACAAUGGAGGAAACUCUGAUGCAGCGAUGCCGCGUGAGUGAAGAAGGCCUUUGGGUUGUAAAGCUCUUUCGUCGGGGAAGAAAAUGACUGUACCCGAAUAAGAAGGUCCGGCUAACUUCGUGCCAGCAGCCGCGGUAAUACGAAGGGACCUAGCGUAGUUCGGAAUUACUGGGCUUAAAGAGUUCGUAGGUGGUUGAAAAAGUUGGUGGUGAAAUCCCAGAGCUUAACUCUGGAACUGCCAUCAAAACUUUUCAGCUAGAGUAUGAUAGAGGAAAGCAGAAUUUCUAGUGUAGAGGUGAAAUUCGUA